CCUGAAUGGCCGCCAGUUAUCAUGAACUAUGCUUACGGUUUUAUAUACAUAUCAUGGUAGACUAAAUAACACAAACUUCUGGCUUGAUAAUUCUUCAUACCAUGCUCAAACCUCAUUCAAUAAUUAUUAAAUAUAGUCCAUUUGGCAUUAUCUCAGCUGAUUCAUGCGUCACCUUCACCGUCACCAAGAUGUUAAUAGGGACCUUUAGCAAAUAGGUGACGGCACGCGACGACGACGGCCAAAAUAAACUCGUUCGAAUAAGUAACUUUAAGAUCAACAUGUUUUGUAUUAUCCGUUGUAUGAAUUUAUUGCAAUUUAAGAAGGUUAAGACAGAGGUUUAUAGUUGAGAAGACUUCUACUAAGCCAAUUUGGCGAGGACGACUUCUCGCGGCUUGAAA